AUUGAACGCUGGCGGCAUGCCUUACACAUGCAAGUCGAACGGCAGCACGGGUGCUUCCACCUGGUGGCGAGUGGCGAACGGGUGAGUAAUACAUCGGAACAUGUCCUGUAGUGGGGGAUAGCCCGGCGAAAGCCGGAUUAAUACCGCAUACGAUCUACGGAUGAAAGCGGGGGACCUUCGGGCCUCGCGCUAUAGGGUUGGCCGAUGGCUGAUUAGCUAGUUGGUGGGGUAAAGGCCUACCAAGGCGACGAUCAGUAGCUGGUCUGAGAGGACGACCAGCCACACUGGGACUGAGACACGGCCCAGACUCCUACGGGAGGCAGCAGUGGGGAAUUUUGGACAAUGGGCGAAAGCCUGAUCCAGCAAUGCCGCGUGUGUGAAGAAGGCCUUCGGGUUGUAAAGCACUUUUGUCCGGAAAGAAAUCCUUGGCCCUAAUACGGUCGGGGGAUGACGGUACCGGAAGAAUAAGCACCGGCUAACUACGUG
rnacentral:rRNA from 1 species